rnacentral:rRNA from 1 species
AUUGAACGCUGGCGGCAGGCCUAACACAUGCAAGUCGGGCGAGCGGCGGCCGGGUGAGUACUGUAUGGGGAUCUGCCUGAUGGUGGGGGCCCACCACUGGAAGCGGUAGAUAAUACCGCAUACCAUCAGAUGAACCGAUAUGGGAUUAGCUUGCGGGUGAGGCAACGUCUUACCUAGGCGACGAUCCCGAGCUGGUCAGAGAGGAUGAGCAGCCACACUGGAACUGAGACAGGGCCCAGACUCCUAAGGGAGGGAGCAGUGGGGAAUAUUGCACAAUGGGCGCAAGCCUGAUACAGCCAUUCCGCGUGUAUGAAGAGGGCCUUCGGGUUGUAGAGUACUUUCAGUCGGGAGGCGUUACCGGCAGAAGAAGCCCCGGCUAACUACGUGCCAGCAGCCGCGGUAAUUC